rnacentral:rRNA from 1 species
UACGUAGGGCGCAAGCGUUGUCCGGAAUUAUUGGGCGUAAAGAGCUCGUAGGCGGUUUGUCGCGUCUGCUGUGAAAACCUCAGGCUCAACCUGGGGCUUGCAGUGGGUACGGGCAGACUAGAGUGCGGUAGGGGUGACUGGAAUUCCUGGUGUAGCGGUGGAAUGCGCAGAUAUCAGGAGGAACACCGAUGGCGAAGGCAGGUCACUGGGCCGCAACUGACGCUGGAGGAGCGAAAGCGUGGGGAGCGAACAGG